rnacentral:tRNA from 1 species
GUACAUAUAGCUUGGUAGUAGAGUGCGUGCUUAACAUGCACAAGGUCCUGGGUUCAAUCCCCAGUACCUCCA